AGUGAACGCUGGCGGUAGGCCUAACACAUGCAAGUCGAACGGCAGCACAGUAAGAGCUUGCUCUUACGGGUGGCGAGUGGCGGACGGGUGAGGAAUACAUCGGAAUCUACUUUUUCGUGGGGGAUAACGUAGGGAAACUUACGCUAAUACCGCAUACGACCUACGGGUGAAAGCAGGGGAUCUUCGGACCUUGCGCGAUUGAAUGAGCCGAUGUCGGAUUAGCUAGUUGGCGGGGUAAAGGCCCACCAAGGCGACGAUCCGUAGCUGGUCUGAGAGGAUGGUCAGCCACACUGGAAGUGAGACAGGGUCCAGACUCCUACGGGGGGCAGCAGUGGGGAAUAUUGGACAAUGGAGGAAAGCCUGAUCCAGCCAUACCGCGUGGGUGAAGAAGGCCUUCGGGUGGUAAAGCCCUUUUGUUGGGAAAGAAGAGCAGCAGGUUAAUACCCCGCUGUUCUGACGGUACCCAAAGAAUAAGCACCGGCUAACUUCGUG
rnacentral:rRNA from 1 species